UACGUAGGGGGCGAGCGUUGUCCGGAUUUAUUGGGCGUAAAGAGCUCGUAGGCGGCUUGUCGCGUCGACUGUGAAAUCCCGCGGCUCAACUGCGGGUCUGCAGUCGAUACGGGCAGGCUAGAGUUCGGUAGGGGAGACUGGAAUUCCUGGUGUAGCGGUGAAAUGCGCAGAUAUCAGGAGGAACACCGGUGGCGAAGGCGGGUCUCUGGGCCGAUACUGACGCUGAGGAGCGAAAGCGUGGGGAGCGAACAGG
rnacentral:rRNA from 1 species